rnacentral:lncRNA from 1 species
GGGAGGAAGACUGAAGAAGAAUGGCCAGCUCUAAUUGUCAGGACAUGGUCUGUUAAGGAAAACUGUAGUCUUCAACCCCAUCAGAGACCUGAGAAGGAUAAACGUUACCCAAGUAAACAGGAAGUGCAGAGCCAGCAGCUCCCAAAGCCGUAGACAUGACAGACUGCUGGCUGCCUGGACAUCCCCCAAGGUUCCUCUGUAUCACUCGGGCAUCCAUCUUUGGCCUACAUGCUCAGAAUAUCUGCCAGACUUAUCUGUGAAACAGCAACUUUGACGGACUGGCUUACCUUAUCUCUGCAAUGUUGGACAGUCAACUUUCAAGUAUGCUGCUUCUCCACAGUUUGGAUGGCCUGCUGUCAGCGGUCAAGGUGAGGCAGUUUUUUGCCCAGUACCCAGUGUUGCCAUGCUUCAAGUAACCUUGAUUUGGAGGCUUUUUGGUGCCCAUCAUCUUUGAAAUAGAUUGGGGGUGCUGCUAGGAAGCUGAUGUAUCUCUCUAUCAGAAAAGCCUUUUAUUAUUAAACCAUCUUAGAUGCC